UAAGCCCGCACGCAGUAGGGCUGGUAAGUGACGGGAAUACUGUGUUGUGGGUUAUCCAAAAUAACGUAUAUAAAAAAAUGGAGACGGUAAAUUUGAGAGAUAAAUCUCUUUGGAAUUUCAAAAGACAAUGGGACUUCGUGGACGAAUGGCCCUUAAUGAGCUCACCAUGGCCCAUAUUAUUAAUUAUAAUCUCGUACCUCUUCUUCGUCCUUAAACUUGGCCCAUUAUACAUGAAGGACAAACAACCGUACAACCUAAAAAACAUUAUCUUGCUUUAUAACAUCGCACAAAUUAUAGUUUCCUUCUCCAUUGUUUUAUAUAUACUCUCCAUCAUAAUCAACAUGGGAAUACUGGAAAGGAAUACUUGUGUUUUGCAUUCCAGUACAGGUCUAUAUAUGGUAAGAAAGCUACAAUAGAUAAAUAAAUAGGUACAU